UGGGGAGGGAAAGCAUGCCCGGCCCUCAGUCAACAAUCUAAACACGACAAGUGUCAAGAACUUCAUUCACUACUCUCCAUUCAGCAUCAGAGUUCAUUGUCAGCAUGUUUUGUUUUGUAAGUCAGCACCUGCUGUAGACUUGUCAUGUUUAAGCUGUGUCGUAAUCAAGUCAGUUUCGUGGAGCAACGUCAGAAUAUUUUAGAUAUAGCGUGGUGAAUGUUUAAAAGAACAGCAAAUUUACUAGUAAAUACACUUAAACUCUGUCUGGUGUUGUCUGCUGUUCAGUAUUGUUCAGGCAAAUGUUUCGUUCGAUUUUAGGCGCAAAUUUUAGCCCUCAAAGCUUGUGUAAUGCGUCAACCAAAUCGGAUUUAUUUCUUGAAACUAAACAACGAUUAUGUUUUUCUUAGGAGGUCUCCUACUAUAUUGCGCAACAGUACGAGCUGGAGGAGUUGCGUGACUCUAUUCAAUGCGUACCUUGUCAAGCACGCGACCGGUCUGCGGGUCACGCGAAGUAAGCAUGGACGAAGUCAACCCUGUUAUAGUUACAGACCGAUGUCAUUGCUACAAACAGGCACAAAAGCAGUUGUUGAGACACUGUCCGAAAACAAACUUUCAGCCUUCAAGUGUAAUUUGUCCUACCUACACUGUCAUAUUUCGCUCCCAUUCCGACUUCCCCCAGAGGUCUCAAUUUUUGGUGCUAUUUAAAGCAACCUCUGGGAACAAAAUUGACACAGACCUUGCAGAUUACAAAAAUAGCGCACGAGGACAUACUUGAAGCUACUUGAGCCGAAACUAAUCCAGGCUCAGCUCACGUGAAGUUCGACUUACAACGCAGCCAUACGUGUAGAACAAGUCAACGAUUUCCACAAGUAUUUAAUUACACUGGUUUUAGGUUGUUUCAUAUCAGUCUGUGAUCAGGCACUACUCUAUGCUUGUUAUUACCUAACAUAAAAAACAUUGUACCUUCUUCAAGUUAUUUUAUUGGUUUAUUGGCACAGAACAAGUGCC